CCCAGCUCUAAUAGUAAUUUGCUCUGGCAUAAGGAUCUUUGGAGGCACUGUGACAGUUGGAGGAGGUUUUCCAGACACAUAGGCGAUGAUCCGGAUCACCCCUCCGGCGUGGACCACAAUUCUGUCUCUGACACUGGCAUCUAGCUGAAGAGUUGGUGACUUCCUCCCAUUCACUUUUCUUCCUGCUUGCAUCACGUUUGUCAAUGACAUAAUGGGUGAUUUCACUGCCACCAUUGUCUAGAGGGGCAUCCCAUGUCAAGUAGCAAGAUUCAGCUUUAAUGUCAGUAAC
rnacentral:lncRNA from 1 species